GGCGGCAUCGCUAAAAAAGAGAAGAAAAUAAAGUUUCUUGAUUAGCAGCACUAAAAUGUAGCAGCAGUGGAAAUUGGUGAAUGCACAAAAUCGAAGGCAGCGCCUACGCCUGCCUGUGAAAUUAAGAGAAUUAAAAAGGGCGAACAUUCUGCCAACUGGGUUGUGCGGUAUAUAUGAGUAUAUUCAUACAUACAUAUGUAUGUAUAUAUCUACAAGAGAAAGGGUGGCGCGGCGGCAAGUGUAGAGCAGAAAACAUGUUGCGCAAGCAAACAGCACGAAAAUAUAAGAAAAACAAAAAACGAAGCAUCAGACAAAAAUGACGGAAGUGAAAAAUAAAAUGCAAUAAAAAGAGAAAAAUCCACGCGCACACUAGCCGUCUGUUGUUGAAAUACUGAUAGCAAAUUAAACGGGGCCUCUCAGCUGGUUUCAUAAAGUGGUUGUUGCUCGCCCGUUUGUCUGCUGGCGUACUGGCGUACUGGCGUACUGGCGUACUGACGAGCCGACUGCUUGACUUUGUGACUAUUAAAGGGCAAUGUGGAACGUGUGGAGGGGUGCAGACAAAGUGAAUUACACAGAACAAAGUUGGAAUGCAAGAGAAAACGAAGGAAAAACGAAUAAAUCAACUGGUUAGAUAUUACAAAAAUGGGCAGAAUCGCUGAUACUUUACGGAUAUUCCAUAUGAUGUAUAUGCCGUAUUCCAAAGAUAUCCACAUAGCAGCUGCUACAACAACGAGACGUCGAUUCCGUUACCUCAGACUGAGAUGUUUCACCACUUAGAAAAAAGGAUGUUUCCCCAAUUAGCAAAAUCUGAGUUACAGCUGGCUUCCUUAUUGUCUAGCAUCUCAAGCACUGGGUAGCUGCGUUUUUCGGUCUCGAUUAAUUUACGUUAACGUUGCCAAACAGCUAUAAAUAAGCGCACCAUCAACUAAAAGCUGUGUUGUUAUUGUGGUUAUAACCAGGUAAAA